rnacentral:misc_RNA from 1 species
GAUGAAGAACGCAGCGAAAUGCGAUACGUAAUGUGAAUUGCAGAAUUCAGUGAAUCAUCGAGUCUUUGAACGCACAUUGCGCCCCCUGGUAUUCCGGGGGGCAUGCCUGUCCGAGCGUCAUUGCUGCCCUCAAGCACGGCUUGUGUGUUGGGCCCCCGUCCUCCUCCCGGGGGACGGGCCCGAAAGGCAGCGGCGGCACCGCGUCCGGUCCUCGAGCGUAUGGGGCUUCGUCACCCGCUCUUGUAGGCCCGGCCGGCGCUUGCCGACACAUCAAUCUUUUUUCCAGGUUGACCUCGGAUCAGGUAGGGAUACCCGCUGAACUUAAGCAUAUCAAUAAGCGGAGGA